CAGCAAAUUUAAUGCAUCCUCUGGCCCCUCACUGCCUUCUUUAUGCCCAGUGAAGGCUCCUUAUAUGCCACAAAGGCAUAUCAAGCCUCAUUCAGCAGGAUGAGUGCUCCCUCCUGGGCCACUUCAAGACGUGACCAUCCUUUUCCUGCCCCCGAUCUCUCAGAGGCUCAGAUCUACAGGCAUUACAGAGCUCUACUGGAACAGAGUGGACCUUCUGCCAGAGAGUAAAAGAAGAACACGCCAGGACCCAGAAGAUACCAGAUAAACCGUUGGGACUAGGUGAUCCUAGUGUGCUGUUAAGGGGAAAUUCGUAUCCUAACUCAAAAAAAUUAAAUCGUGAUUAAUCGCAGU